rnacentral:rRNA from 1 species
GAUGAACGCUGGCGGCAUGCCUAAUACAUGCAAGUCGAACGAGAGACCUUCGGGUCUCUAGUGGCGAACGGGUGAGUAACACGUAGGGAACCUGCCCGCGCACCGGGAAUACGCUCUGGAAACGGAGAACAAAUCCCGAUGUACAGGAAGGAGGCAUCUUCUUUCUGUGAAACAUCCUUUCGGGGAUGGGGCGCGGAUGGACCUGCGGUGCAUUAGUUUGUUGGCGGGGUAAAGGCCCACCAAGACGAUGAUGCAUAGCCGGCCUGAGAGGGCGGACGGCCACAUUGGGACUGAGACACGGCCCAGACUCCUGCGGGAGGCAGCAGUAGGGAAUUUUCGUCAAUGGGCGCAAGCCUGAACGAGCGAUGCCGCGUGAGUGAAGAAGGCCUUCGGGUCGUAAAGCUCUGUUGCGGGGGAAAAAAGGCAGCAUCAGGAAAUGGGUGCUGACUGAUGGUGCCCCGCCAGAAAGUCACGGCUAACUACGUGC